rnacentral:rRNA from 1 species
UACGAAGGGGGCUAGCGUUGUUCGGAAUUACUGGGCGUAAAGCGCGCGUAGGCGGCUUUGCAAGUCGGGUGUGAAAUCCCCAGGCUUAACCUGGGAACUGCAUUCGAGACUGCAUUGCUAGAGUAUGGGAGAGGGAAGUGGAAUUUCCGGUGUAGCGGUGAAAUGCGUAGAUAUCGGAAGGAACAUCAGUGGCGAAAGCGACUUCCUGGACCAAUACUGACGCUCAUGUGCGAAAAGCGUGGGGAGCAAACAGG